CGGGUGCACUGAUCCAGCCGGGCCUUUCCCUCUGUGGAACCCCAUGGCCUUCACUGGCUGUGGUGGGGAAACAGGACUUUUACUUUGAAAAAAUUAGAGUGCUCCAGGCAGGCCUAUGCUCGAAUACAUUAGCAUGGAAUAAUAGAAUAGGACGUGUGGUUCUAUUUUGUUGGUUUCUAGGACCGCCGUAAUGAUUAAUAGGGACAGUCGGGGGCAUCAGUAUUCAAUUGUCAGAGGUGAAAUUCUUGGAUCUAUUGAAGACUAACUACUGCGAAAGCAUUUGCCAAGGAUGUUUUCAUUGAUAAGGAACGAAAGUUAGGGGAUCGAAGACGAUCAGAUACCGUCGUAGUCUUAACUAUAAACUAUGCCGACUAGGGAUCGGACGAUGUUAUUCUUUGACGCGUUCGGCACCUUUCGAGAAAUCAAAGUGCUUGGGCUCCAGGGGGAGUAUGGUCGCAAGGCUGAAACUUAAAGAAAUUGACGGAAGGGCACCACCAGGGGUGGAACCUGCGGCUUAAUUUGACUCAACACGGGGAAACUCACCAGGUCCAGACACAGUGAGGAUUGACAGAUUGAGAGCUCUUUCUUGAUUCUGUGGGUGGUGGUGCAUGGCCGUUCUUAGUUGGUGGAGUGAUUUGUCUGCUUAAUUGCGAUAACGAACGAGACCUUAACCUGCUAAAUAGCCCGUACUGCUUUGGCAGUUCGCCGGCUUCUUAGAGGGACUAUCGG
rnacentral:rRNA from 1 species